rnacentral:rRNA from 1 species
GAUUAACGCUGGCGGCGUGCCUAACACAUGCAAGUCGAGCGAGAAUUGACAGAAUGAAACUUCGGUCGAUUUCAGUCAAGGACAGCGGCGGACGGGUGAGUAACGCGUGGGCAACCUGCCCCUUUCCGGAGGAUAGCCAAGGGAAACUUUGAAUAAUACUCCAUAAAGCAUUUUUACCGCAUGAUAGAGAUGCCAAAGAUUUAUCGGAGAGGGAUGGGCCCGCGUCUGAUUAGCCAGUUGGUGAGGUAGCGGCUCACCAAAGCGACGAUCGGUAGCCGGCCUGAGAGGGUGAACGGCCACAUUGGAACUGAGACACGGUCCAGACUCC